rnacentral:rRNA from 1 species
UACAGAGGAGCCAAGCGUUGUCCGGAUUGACGUGGGCGUAAAGCGCACGCAGGCGGCCGCGCGCGUGGGGUGUGAAAUCUGGCCGCCUUAACGGCCAGGCGCCAUCCCAUACGGCGCGGCUGGAGCCAUGCAGAGGGCGGUGGAAUUGCCGGUGUAGUGGUGAAAUGCGUAGAGAUCGGCAGGAACACCCAGGGGGAACCGAGCCGCCUGGGCAUGCGCUGGACGCUGAGGUGCGAGAGCGUGGGGAGCGAACCGGAUUAGAGUACCC